rnacentral:rRNA from 1 species
UACGUAGGGUGCAAGCGUUAAUCGGAAUUACUGGGCGUAAAGCGUGCGCAGGCGGUUAUGCAAGACAGAGGUGAAAUCCCCGGGCUCAACCUGGGAGCUGCCUUUGUGACUGCAUGGCUAGAGUACGGUAGAGGGGGAUGGAAUUCCGCGUGUAGCAGUGAAAUGCGUAGAUAUGCGGAGGAACACCGAUGGCGAAGGCAAUCCCCUGGACCUGUACUGACGCUCAUGCACGAGAGCGUGGGGAGCAAACAGGAUUAGAUAC